rnacentral:siRNA from 1 species
UAUCAGAGGCCUAUGUAGAGCACC